UACAGAGGUCCCAAGCGUUGUUCGGAUUCACUGGGCGUAAAGGGUGCGUAGGCGGUCGGGGUAAGUCUGAUGUGAAAUCUCUGGGCUUAACCCAGAAAUGGCAUUGGAUACUAUUCGGCUUGAGAGUUGGAGGGGGGAUUGGAAUUCUCGGUGUAGCAGUGAAAUGCGUAGAUAUCGAGAGGAACACCAGUGGCGAAGGCGAGUCCCUGGACAACUUCUGACGCUGAGGCACGAAAGCUAGGGGAGCAAACAGG
rnacentral:rRNA from 1 species